GUCCACGGCCACGCCACCCUGAACAAGCCUGAUCCCGUCUGAUCUCAGAAGCUAAGCCGGGUCAGGCCUGGUUAGUACUUGGGUGGGAGACCACCUAGGAAGACCAGGUGCCGUAAGCA
rnacentral:rRNA from 1 species